UAGGGAAUCUUCCGCAAUGGACGAAAGUCUGACGGAGCAACGCCGCGUGAGUGAAGAAGGAUUUCGGUUCGUAAAACUCUGUUGUUAGGGAAGAAAAAAUGUAUAGUAACUAUAUACAAAAGAGACGGUACCUAACCAGAAAGCCACGGCUAACUACGUGCCAGCAGCCGCGGUAAUACGUAGGUGGCAAGCGUUGUCCGGAAUUAUUGGGCGUAAAGCGCGCGCAGGUGGUUUAGAAAGUCUGAUGUGAAAGCCCACGGCUCAACCGUGGAGGGUCAUUGGAAACUAAUAAACUUGAGUGCAGGAGAGAAAAGUGGAAUUCCUAGUGUAGCGAUGAAAUGCGUAGAGAUUAGGAGGAACACCGGUGGCGAAAGCGGCUUUUUGGCCUGCAACUGACACUGAGGAGCGAAAGCGUGGGGAGCAAACAGG
rnacentral:rRNA from 1 species